CUUUUUUGUUGUUGCUGGGUAUUUUUUCCUUUCCUUCACCCUCCAGGUCGCCUCGGGUUGAGGAAGGGCUGAGGGAAGGGAUCUGUGCUGGCCCAAAGUUGUGGGGACCCUCCUUGCUGUGUCCUGGAAAAAGGGUCCCACCACGGGGUUUUUCUCACACCUGAAGCAUGAGGCAGAUGGUCCAUCAGUGUAGGCUCGCCCAUGGAUGAGGAAUCCCAUAGGAAAGAGGAGCUGCUCUCAGGUCCUGUCUCCGGGAGGAUUUAGCCAUCCAUCUGCCCAGGCUGCUGUUCGUUCCUGCCCUUGAGCAUCCCUGCUCCCCCCAGGGCAUCCUCACACCCUGCACCAGAUGGACGUCCAGCACCCAGGUGGGAGCCCACCAGAAUCACAGAAGGGUGUGGAUGGGGCUUUUCCCUCUCCUUUCCCACUGAUCACACUGGAAUAAGGUGAAGCUGGGGUUUGUCCCCGCAGGGAACAGCACUGGGAUGGCUGUUUUCAUGGCUGGGGACAGUUCAGGGGCUGUUACCCCUCUCUGUGUGCACUGGGGUGUUUUCCUUGCUGGGAGCUGCUGUGGCUGCACGUAAAUCCUCCCUCAGCCACAACUGUGCCACAGACGUCCCAGGACAGGAAUUUUUUCUCCAGUUUUAGUGCUGGUGUAAAGCUAAAUUAUGGGAGUUGUCAGCAUUAGCAAAAAACCACCAUACCUAUCCUGCCUGCAAAAGCACAGCAGUGGGGCCUGGGGGCUGGAAGAGGUGGAGGAGAGGUGGGUCAGCUCCUGCUUUCUGGGAAUUACAGGGACCAGGCUAUUGUGCUGUGGAGUUGGACUGGUGCUGGUGGGUUGUUAACAGUCGAGGUAACUGGUAUGGUGGCAAAAGCCAUGGCAGGGUGGCAGAGCAGGUGCCUCCAUCCCUCCUCCUCCCUCUGCAGUCUCAGGCCCUCCUUGGGGCCCACAGGGAGGAAGGUGGAAGAUCCGUUUGAGCUCCAUCCAACCCAAAACCCCAUGGCACUGCCCAGGCUUGAGCACGGACACCUUGGGAAGCGGCAGAGGUUGGCACCUCCACCCCACAGCAGGUCACUGUGGAUGUGGAGCACCAGUCCCUCACUUCCAGGACACACAGACACCAUUUCACUUCCAGGACACACCGACACAGCUCAGCACCGGCUCGGGAGCAGCGGAAGAGUUUCACACCUUGGCAAAACAAUGUUGAAGGAGGAAAUGAGCAGCCAGGAGCUGUAAUUGAGAUGGAUGGAAGGGCACCCGGCUUCCCUCAAAGCGUUCCAGGCAACAGACUGGAGAGGAAUAUGAAGUGCUGCUGCUCUCUAACGAUCGCCACGCUGCGGCUAAAUUAUUAAUGACGAGGAAUGAUUUCAUAUUUAA